AAAACUGAGACAGUAACAUCAAGUAAAGCAUAAAACAGCGAAGGAAAAAAAGAAAAAUCAAGACAAAGAAUCAAGAAAUAACGCGAUAAUAUAUCGCAGACUCCAGACUACUUGGAUGUGGAUUGCUACGUUUGACCAGCUGUUUCAGACAGUAUCAGAAGUUUUCAAUGAGAAAUUUGACGGGUUUUAUGAUCGAGGUUUCAUGAAGUUCCAACAGGCGUCGGCGCUAUACGAGACCUUCAAGAUGGUGUAUUCCAAGCAGAGUUUCUUUUGAUGGGAAACCAGAGAAUUGCAGAUAUUCAUAUGUGCUUGCAGAAUGUCUACAGAGACCUGACAGUGAACAAACGCAUGGUGAGUCGUUGGGCGAGACGUCUGUCAUCACUGCAACAAGGUCUCUGAUGCCCCGGCCCGCUGCACGCAGCCGUGACUCCUGCAAUACUGGAACGUGGGGACACUCUCAUUCGAGGUGAUUGGCGGAUCACAGACAGUCAGACACCUCGCUGCUCAACUGAACGUCUCUGUAGGUACUGACACACUCGUCCACCAAUUAGUGUUCUUAUAGGUGUGUUCCCACUGGGUUCCUCGCUGCCUGACAGAAGACCAUAAAGAGCGACGAAGAAUCAUCUGUGCGCAAAUGCUUGCACGCUACAAGGGUAACCGUGAGAAUUUUUUUAGAACGUCUUCACAGUUAAUGAAACAUCGAUACAUCACUUAGAACCGGAAACAAAACGGCAACCCAUAGAGUAGAGCCACACCACGUUUCCUCAGUCAAAAUCAGCACUCUCUGUCGGUAAAGUUAUGGCUGCCAUCGUCUGGGACUAUGAAGGGGACAUUCUACUUGAUGUCUUCCCUCGUGGUGGAACGAUCAGCUUUAAAUUGUGGUCUGCUAGCCUCAGGAAGUUGAAGAAACGGCUUCUGCGUGUUCGUCGACAGAAGACUGCCAAAGAAAUUCUUUUCCGUUGCAACGCCAACCCUCAAAAGGCAAGGCCUCCCAAGAGGAGCUGGACUGUUCUUCCUCAUCGACCCUACAUCCCAGAUCUCGCACCUUCCGACAUCCAUACGUUUGACCCAAUGAAGAAUGCACUCCGCAGAAAGCAGUAUGUGGAUGACGGGGACGUUAUUGGUGCAGCAAGACGUUGGCUCCAGUGUGGAGUGGUACAAGGCGGGCGUACAGGAGUUCCGAGUCAGGCGGCAUAAGGCCGUCGCACUGAAGGGAGAUAUGCUUAAAAAUAGGGUUUUGGAGCCA